AUUGAACGCUGGCGGCAGGCCUAACACAUGCAAGUCGAGCGGGGUUUUCGGACCUAGCGGCGGACGGGUGAGUAAUGCGUAGGAAGCUGCCCGAUAGAGGGGAUACCAGUUGGAAACGACUGUUAAUACCGCAUAAUGUCUACGGACCAAAGUGUGGGACCUUCGGGCCACAUGCUAUCGGAUGCGCCUACGUGGGAUUAGCUAGUUGGUGAGGUAAUGGCUCACCAAGGCGACGAUCUCUAGCUGGUUUGAGAGGAUGAUCAGCCACACUGGAACUGAGACACGGUCCAGACUCCUACGGGAGGCAGCAGUGGGGAAUAUUGGACAAUGGGCGCAAGCCUGAUCCAGCCAUGCCGCGUGUGUGAAGAAGGCCUUCGGGUUGUAAAGCACUUUCAGCGAGGAGGAAGGGUGGUGUGUUAAUAGCACAUCAUUUUGACGUUACUCGCAGAAGAGGCACCGGCUAACUCUGUGCCAGCCGCCGCCGUAAUAC
rnacentral:rRNA from 1 species